UCUUUUUCUUUUUCUUUUUCUUUUUUUUCUUUUUUCCUUCUUCUUCCCCGAAAUACACACACACACGCAGCUUUUCUUUCUUCUCUCCCGACCGUCCCUCUCUCUCCUAUGUUUCAAAUUCCGGCCACCCAUAGCCCUCACGCGCCAGCCACCAAGGAAGCCCGCCACCUCGCGAGCUUGGCCGCCAAGUUUCACGGCCAGCCGCCGCCGGACGCGCGCCGAUCGGGCCGGAGAAGCCGCCGGCCGGCCAAGUUUCUCUCUCCUCUUUUCUUGUGUUUUCCGGCCAGCCCACUCCCAAUUGAGCCUCCUAUCCCCCUAUUUUGGGUCCUCUGAAUCCAAAAAUGGCCUCCAAUCCCAGAAAUUCGAAGCGGUUUGCGAGAUAUGGGGAAGUGAACACCGGCCGAAACUUUCCGACCAAAUUCCAGCCACCUCCGGCGGAAUUGGGGUCGACGGAGACCGGAUUGGUGAUCCUCGUUCCACGAGCUUCGAUUCGGAGCACUGGUGAGUCGUGAAAUUGAUCCCGUAGUGGAUCGUGGGUUAAUUGCGUGCUCCAGGUUCAGGUUGGAGACGUUGAUUGUCCGGGGCGAGCCCGACGUCUCAGUUCGUUGCCGAAGGUUCAAGAAGUUUUUCUUCCCUUUUUCCUCUCUAUCUUGUAUUACAUUCUUAUCUGUUAUUUUUAUAAAUUCCACAUUUGUUGUAUAAUGCUCUGUAUACUGUAUUGGACGUGUGGUUGUUCUUUAUGCACUGGACUGUUGUUGCUUUGAGAAGUGCUGGAAUUUGUGGAAUCAGUUUGUAGUUUGUGGGAGGAAUAAGGGGAUGUUUUUAGAAGUGUGUUUUCAGUGCAGGUAAUUUGUGGUAAGUAAAUCCCUUAGGGGAGGCUCUGUCGGAUUUUCCUUUGGAGGGUCCGGUAGGGUUUCCCUGGGAUCAGGGCUGUCUAGGGUUCCGGGGAAGGAAUUCUGGACGGGUCCUGACAUGCAUGCCUUAUACUGGUCGUUUACUUUGAUCUUUAUCACUUAUUUUGUAAAUAUUUUUAUGAAUAGCAGCAUGAUGAAAAUUAGAGUAGAAUAAAUUAAA